UGCAAGUCGAGCGAACGGACGAGGAGCUUGCUCCUUUGAAGUUAGCGGCGGACGGGUGAGUAACACGUGGGUAACCUACCUAUAAGACUGGAAUAACUCCGGGAAACCGGGGCUAAUGCCGGAUAACAUGUUGAACCGCAUGGUUCAACAGUGAAAGACGGUCUUGCUGUCACUUAUAGAUGGACCCGCGCCGUAUUAGCUAGUUGGUGGGGUAACGGCCUACCAAGGCGACGAUACGUAGCCGACCUGAGAGGGUGAUCGGCCACACUGGAACUGAGACACGGUCCAGACUCCUACGGGAGGCAGCAGUAGGGAAUCUUCCGCAAUGGGCGAAAGCCUGACGGAGCAACGCCGCGUGAGUGAUGAAGGUCUUCGGAUCGUAAAGCUCUGUUGUUAGGGAAGAACAAAUGUGUAAGUAACUGUGCACGUCUUGACGGUACCUAACCAGAAAGCCACGGCUAACUACGUGCCAGCAGCCGCGGUAAUACGUAGGUGGCAAGCGUUAUCCGGAAUUAUUGGGCGUAAAGCGCGCGUAGGCGGUUUUUUAAGUCUGAUGUGAAAGCCCACGGCUCAACCGUGGAGGGUCAUUGGAAACUGGAAAACUUGAGUGCAGAAGAGGAAAGUGGAAUUCCAUGUGUAGCGGUGAAAUGCGCAGAGAUAUGGAGGAACACCAGUGGCGAAGGCGGCUUUCUGGUCUGCAACUGACGCUGAUGUGCGAAAGCGUGGGGAUCAAACAGGAUUAGAUACCCUGGUAGUCCACGCCGUAAACGAUGAGUGCUAAGUGUUAGGGGGUUUCCGCCCCUUAGUGCUGCAGCUAACGCAUUAAGCACUCCGCCUGGGGAGUACGGUCGCAAGACUGAAACUCAAAGGAAUUGACGGGGACCCGCACAAGCGGUGGAGCAUGUGGUUUAAUUCGAAGCAACGCGAAGAACCUUACCAAAUCUUGACAUCCUUUGACCGCUCUAGAGAUAGAGUUUUCCUCUUCGGAGGACAAAGUGACAGGUGGUGCAUGGUUGUCGUCAGCUCGUGUCGUGAGAUGUUGGGUUAAGUCCCGCAACGAGCGCAACCCUUGAGCUUAGUUGCCAUCAUUAAGUUGGGCACUCUAAGUUGACUGCCGGUGACAAACCGGAGGAAGGUGGGGAUGACGUCAAAUCAUCAUGCCCCUUAUGAUUUGGGCUACACACGUGCUACAAUGGACAAUACAAAGGGCAGCGAAACCGCGAGGUCAAGCAAAUCCCAUAAAGUUGUUCUCAGUUCGGAUUGUAGUCUGCAACUCGACUACA
rnacentral:rRNA from 1 species